CGUAGUGGUCGAAUGUUGUUGAGUGCGUAUCGACGUGCGUAUGGAUGCGCUGCAGGCUGCAUUACAAUGAUCUGAUCGCUUUCUGUUCUGCGAACUGUUGGAUAUAUGACUAACAGAAUGAUAUCGGACAACCAAAACCUAACGUUGCAUUUGUGAAGAUAUCAAAGCAUUCGAAUAAAAAUAUUUGAACCGUCAGCUAAUAGACCAAAGAGCGGUUAUGAUGUGUAACAGUCACGGCACCCAGCUAUACCUGGAGGUGCCGUCGUCACGUCUGCCUAUCGUCUACUCUCCAGUAUACAACAUCACCUUCAUGGGCCUUGAGAAACUACACCCCUUCGACAGCGGGAAGUGGGGGAAAGUCAUCCACUUCCUAAAAGAGGAGAAGUUGAUCAGUGAUGGGAGCAUCGUUGAGGCGCGGGAGGCUGCAGAGGAAGACCUGCUGGUGGUUCACACAAAACGCUACCUCAACAGACUCAAGUGGUCCCUGGUUGUAGCGUCCAUCACAGAGAUCCCUCCCCUCCUAUUCCUACCUAACUUCCUGGUUCAGAGACGUGUCCUGCGGCCACUCAGAACGCAGACCGGAGGCACCAUCAUGGCAGGGAAACUGGCUGUAGACCGAGGCUGGGCCAUCAAUGUAGGUGGGGGCUUCCACCAUUGCUCCAGUGAUAAAGGAGGAGGGUUCUGUGCCUAUGCUGACAUCACCUUAGCUAUCAAGUUUCUGUUUGAGAGGGUGGAGGGAAUCUCCAGAGCCACCAUCAUAGAUCUGGACGCACACCAGGGGAACGGUCAUGAGCGUGACUUCCUGGAUGACAGACGUGUUUUCAUCAUGGACGUCUACAACCGAUACAUCUACCCUGGAGACGGAUAUGCAAAGAGAGCCAUAAAGCGUCAGGUGGAGCUGGACUGGGGGACGGAGGAUGAUGAGUACCUCGGGAAGGUAGAGCUCCACACGGAGGGUGCUCUCAAUGAGGUCCGGCCUGACAUCAUAGUAUACAACGCCGGGACAGACAUCCUGGACGGAGACCCCCUGGGAGGGCUGGCUAUCUCACCACAGGGCAUAGUAAAGAGGGAUGAGAUAGUUUUCCGGGCAGCACGAAGGAGAGGGAUUCCCAUCCUGAUGGUGACGUCUGGCGGAUAUCAGAAGAGGACAGCUCGCAUCAUCGCUGACUCCAUCAUCAACCUGCGACGCCAGGGCCUGAUUGGAGGGAAUGAGGAUGGGGAUGUGACAGAGGAGUGUGUGGGCGGAGUCUCCCUCAUGAUGAGCAGCUCUGACUCCUCCCCUUCCUCUGUGUCGACAGGACCAGCACCCAACACCAUCUGACUGGAACUGAACAUGAGUUGGAUCUUAGGGCCCAGAGCUUCUCCUGGAAACCUAUUGUGCUCGGGAUUAGAGUGCCUUUUCAGACUUCCCCGCGAUCUUACUGAUGCCCAAGGUGACUGUGGCAGGGCUUGGUAAUGGUACAGGGUUGGUCAGGUAGCCUAGUGGUUAAGAGUCAGUAAUUGGUUGGGUGGGUGGUUAAGUGGUUGGGCCAGUAAUCAAAAGGUCGCUGGUUUGAAUCCCCGAGCCAGCUAGGUGAAAAAUCUCUGGAUAACAGUUUCUGCUAAAUUACUAAAAUGUAAAUGUCUGAGACAUUCUGUAGCGGUACGGGGUUGGUCUGAGACAUUCUGUAGUGGUACGGGGUUGGUCUGAGACAUUCUGUAGCGGUACGGGGUUGGUCUGAGACAUUCUGUAGCGGUACGGGGUUGGUCUGAGACAUUCUGUAGCGGUACGGGGUUGGUCUGAGACAUUCUGUAGCGGUACGGGGUUGGUCUGAGACAUUCUGUAGUGGUACGGGGUUGGUCUGAGACAUUCUGUAGUGGUACGGGGUUGGUCUGAGACAUUCUGUAGUGGUACGGGGUUGGUCUGAGACAUUCUGUAGUGGUACGGGGUUGGUCUGAGACAUUCUGUAGUGGUACGGGGUUGGUCUGAGACAUUCUGUAGGGGUACGGGGUUGGUCUGAGACAUUCUGUAGGGGUACGGGGUUGGUCUGAGACAUUCUGUAGUGGUACGGGGUUGGUCUGAGACAUUCUGUAGUGGUACGGGGUUGGUCUGAGACAUUCUGUAGUGGUACGGGGUUGGUCUGAGACAUUCUGUAGUGGUACGGGGUUGGUCUGAGACAUUCUGUAGUGGUACCGGGUUGGUCUGAGACGGGGUUGGUCUGAGACAUUCUGUAGGGGUACGGGGUUGGUCUGAAACAGAUGUACAGUAUUCUGUGGACAGUAGUUUAAUACUAACACUGAACAUGGUAGAGACUUCAGACAUUGGACUUUAAGAUUGACUUAAGUUUUGUGGUUCAUGUAUUAGUUUCUGGAUCAGACCAAUGUAGGGAGAAAGAGGGCCUUUUCCCCCUAAUAUUGAUGAUGGUCAGGAACUGGGUUAGGUCUGACUGGCCCAGAGUUUCACCUGGGCUCCUGGGCUAUGACCCAAAUGGCACCCGAUUCCUUAUAUAGUGCACUACGUUGGGUUAGGUCUGACUGGCCCAGAGUUUCACCUGGGCUCCUGGGCUAUGACCCAAAUGGCACCCAAUUCCUUAUAUAGUGCACUAUGUUGGGUUAGGUCUGACUGGCCCAGAGUUUCACCUGGGCUCCUGGGCUAUGACCCAAAUGGCACCCAAUUCCUUAUAUAGUGCACUACGUUGGGUUAGGUCUGACUGGCCCAGAGUUUCACCUGGGCUCCUGGGCUAUGACCCAAAAGGCACCCAAUUCCUUAUAUAGUGCACUACGUUGGGUUAGGUCUGACUGGCCCAGAGUUUCACCUGGGCUCCUGGGCUAUGACCCAAAUGGCACCCAAUUCCUUAUAUAGUGCACUACGUUGGGUUAGGUCUGACUGGCCCAGAGUUUCACCUGGGCUCCUGGGCUAUGACCCAAAUGGCACCCAAUUCCUUAUAUAGUGCACUACGUUGGGUUAGGUCUGACUGGCCCAGAGUUUCACCUGGGCUCCUGGGCUAUGACCCAAAUGGCAGCCAUUUUAGGUAAAACUUAUAUAGUGCACUACGUUGGGCCAAGGGGCCAGUAUGCCACUGACUUUAAUUCGCUAGUUCAUAUUGACUUGAAGGACCAAUCUAUGAAAAAAGGGCCUUUUACCUGGUCUAAUUACAUGGGUUGGCCAGGGAUAACUCAUGGUAUUACCUGGGUUGGCCAGGGAUAACUCAUGGUAUUACCUGGUCUAAUUACAUGGGUUGGCCAGGGAUAACUCAUGGUAUUACCUGGGUUGGCCAGGGAUAACUCAUGGUAUUACCUGGGUUGGCCAGGGAUAACUCGUGGUAUUACCUGGGUUGGCCAGGGAUAACUCAUGGUAUUACCUGGUCUAAUUACAUGGGUUGGCCAGGGAUAACUCAUGGUAUUACCUGGGUUGGCCAGGGAUAACUCAUGGUAUUACCUGGGUUGGCCAGGGAUAACUCGUGGUAUUACCUGGGUUGGCCAGGGAUAACUCAUGGUAUUACCUGGUCUAAUUACAUGGGUUGGCCAGGGAUAACUCAUGGUAUUACCUGGGUUGGCCAGGGAUAACUCGUGGUAUUACCUGGGUUGGCCAGGGAUAACUCAUGGUAUUACCUGGGUUGGCCAGGGAUAACUCAUGGUAUUACCUGGGUUGGCCAGGGAUAACUCAUGGUAUUACCUGGGUUGGCCAGGGAUAACUCGUGGUAUUACCUGGGUUGGCCAGGGAUAACUCGUGGUAUUACCUGGGUUGGCCAGGGAUAACUCAUGGUAUUACAUGGGUUGGCCAGGGAUAACUCAUGGUAUUACCUGGGUUGGCCAGGGAUAACUCAUGGUAUUACCUGGGUUGGCCAGGGAUAACUCAUGGUAUUACCUGGUCUAAUUACAUGGGUUGGCCAGGGAUAACUCAUGGUAUUACCUGGGUUGGCCAGGGAUAACUCAUGGUAUUACCUGGGUUGGCCAGGGAUAACUCGUGGUAUUACCUGGGUUGGCCAGGGAUAACUCAUGGUAUUACCUGGUCUAAUUACAUGGGUUGGCCAGGGAUAACUCAUGGUAUUACCUGGGUUGGCCAGGGAUAACUCGUGGUAUUACCUGGGUUGGCCAGGGAUAACUCAUGGUAUUACCUGGGUUGGCCAGGGAUAACUCAUGGUAUUACCUGGGUUGGCCAGGGAUAACUCAUGGUAUUACCUGGGUUGGCCAGGGAUAACUCGUGGUAUUACCUGGGUUGGCCAGGGAUAACUCGUGGUAUUACCUGGGUUGGCCAGGGAUAACUCAUGGUAUUACCUGGGUUGGCCAGGGAUAACUCGUGGUAUUACCUGGGUUGGCCAGGGAUAACUCGUGGUAUUACCUGGGUUGGCCAGGGAUAACUCAUGGUAUUACCUGGGUUGGCCAGGGAUAACUCAUGGUAUUACCUGGGUUGGCCAGGGAUAACUCAUGGUAUUACCUGGGUUGGCCAGGGAUAACUCAUGGUAUUACCUGGGUUGGCCAGGGAUAACUCAUGGUAUUACCUGGUCUAAUUACAUGGGUUGGCCAGGGAUAACUCGUGGUAUUACCUGGGUUGGCCAGGGAUAACUCAUGGUAUUACCUGGGUUGGCCAGGGAUAACUCAUGGUAUUACAUGGGUUGGCCAGGGAUAACUCAUGGUAUUACCUGGGUUGGCCAGGGAUAACUCAUGGUAUUACCUGGGUUGGCCAGGGAUAACUCAUGGUAUUACCUGGUCUAAUUACAUGGGUUGGCCAGGGAUAACUCGUGGUAUUACCUGGGUUGGCCAGGGAUAACUCAUGGUAUUACCUGGGUUGGCCAGGGAUAACUCAUGGUAUUACAUGGGUUGGCCAGGGAUAACUCAUGGUAUUACCUGGGUUGGCCAGGGAUAACUCAUGGUAUUACCUGGGUUGGCCAGGGAUAACUCAUGGUAUUACCUGGGUUGGCCAGGGAUAACUCAUGGUAUUACCUGGGUUGGCCAGGGAUAACUCAUGGUAUUACCUGGUCUAAUUACAUGGGUUGGCCAGGGAUAACUCAUGGUAUUACCUGGGUUGGCCAGGGAUAACUCAUGGUAUUACCUGGGUUGGCCAGGGAUAACUCAUGGUAUUACCUGGGUUGGCCAGGGAUAACUCAUGGUAUUACCUGGGUUGGCCAGGGAUAACUCAUGGUAUUACCUGGGUUGGCCAGGGAUAACUCGUGGUAUUACCUGGGUUGGCCAGGGAUAACUCGUGGUAUUACCUGGGUUGGCCAGGGAUAACUCAUGGUAUUACCUGGGUUGGCCAGGGAUAACUCGUGGUAUUACCUGGGUUGGCCAGGGAUAACUCAUGGUAUUACCUGGGUUGGCCAGGGAUAACUCAUGGUAUUACCUGGUCUAAUUACAUGGGUUGGCCAGGGAUAACUCAUGGUAUUACCUGGUCUAAUUACAUGGGUUGGCCAGGGAUAACUCGUGGUAUUACCUGGGUUGGCCAGGGAUAACUCAUGGUAUUACCUGGUCUAAUUACAUGGGUUGGCCAGGGAUAACUCGUGGUAUUACCUGGGUUGGCCAGGGAUAACUCAUGGUAUUACCUGGUCUAAUUACAUGGGUUGGCCAGGGAUAACUCAUGGUAUUACCUGGGUUGGCCAGGGAUAACUCAUGGUAUUACCUGGUCUAAUUACAUGGGUUGGCCAGGGAUAACUCAUGGGUCGUGUCCUAACACCCUAUUAUUUAGGGCGCUACUUUGGCCAAGGGGCUGUAAGGUAACUUAGUAGGACUUUACAGACAUUUGCUUCAUUGGAUGUUGAUAAUAUUGGAAGAGUUUUACAUGUUGUAUGAGUGUUUGGCAGAGGGUUUAAAGUUCAUUAUAACAAUGUGAAAAUGAUUUUUUUAAAAUAAUUAAUAAUUAAUUCGAGAAUAAUAUGAUUGGUAUUGGUUAAUUAAUUAAUGAGAGAAUAAGAUAAUAUGAUUGGUAUUGGUUAAUUAAUUAAUGAGAGAAUAAUAUAAUAUGAUUGGUAUUGGUUAAUGAAUAAAUUAAAAUGAUUAGCAACAUUCCAAAACGUAAUUCUUAUUCAGAUUGGGAAAUCUGGAUUACAUCCCAUAUGGCAUCCUAUUCCUUGUAUAGUCCACUACUUUUGACCAGAGCUCCAACGUGCCCUGAUUAAAAGUAGUGCACUAAAUAGGGAAUAGGGCGCCAUUUGGAGCACAUCCCUGAUGUGAUCUGCUACGCUCCGGCACCACAUUCAGAAUCCUCCUGAUCUUAAGACUUUGUUGAAAUAUUUGGUUUAAGGUUCCUGCACUUGUUAGAAAGCAGUGAUAUAUUCAUUAUAUUGUCGGUCCAUGUUUAAAGUUUUUGUCCUAUGUACGGGGUACGCACGGUAUACACUACAUUGUCCAAAGAAAUGCUUACUUGCAGGUUCCUUCAUGACGAUGCAACAAUAAGAAACACUAAAAGAUAAUAAUAUGAACAUAAAGUAAAUGGCUCACUAAAAUAGAAUACAUAUUUUUGCAUAAGUGUGUGUGUGUGUAUAUAUAUAUAUCACCUUAUAUAUAUAUAUAUAUAUAUAUAUAUAUAUAUAAUAUUAUAAUUGUAUAAUAAGCUAAGAGGAAUAUGAUUAUGGGAGAAGCUUUAGGGAUGAUUCUGAUGGUUAAACUUUGUAGUAUAUGAAUAUAAUAAUGGCAUUUAGCAGACAUCAUUCAUCACCUUAUUGUAUUCAGCCAUUCAUCACCUUAUUGUUUUCAGCCAUUCAGCCAUUCAUGACCUUAUUGUUUUCAGCCAUUCAUCACCUCAUUGUAUUCAGCCAUUCAUGGCCUUAUUGUUUUCAGCCAUUCAUAACCUUAUUGUUUUCAGCCAUUCAUCACCUCAUUGUAUUCAGCCAUUCAUCGCCUUAUUGUUUUCAGCCAUUCAUAACCUUAUUGUUUUCAGCCAUUCAUGACCUUAUUGUUUUCAGCCAUUCAUAACCUUAUUGUGUUCAGCCAUUCAUGACCUUAUUGUAUUCAGCCAUUCAUCACCUUAUUGUUUUCAGCCAUUCAUGACCUUAUUGGAUUCAACCUGUUUCUCACACCUUUUCUUCAAUCAGAAAUUAUUUUUGAAUUCUAACAAACUUACUUUCAAGAUAAUUCUUUUUUUUUUGUUUCAUAUACAUUUUACCCACAUGGUACUUUUAUACACAGUAGUAUAACAAAAGUUGUGCAUUACGUCUUGUCUUCUGACUGGCCGGUGUUGCACAGAGUUCGUUCGCCAUGGGAGCAUUCUCCUGUUGUAUUCCCCAUAUUUAUAUUACAUUCUGUUGUAUUCCCCAUACACACUAACGUUCAAAAGUUUGGGGUCACUUAGAAAUGUCCUUGUUUUUGAAAGAAAAGCAAAAAAAAUUGUCCAUUAAAAUAACAUCAAAUUGAUCAGAAAUACAGUGUAGACAUUGUUAAUGUUGUAAAUGACUAUUGUAGCUGGAAACAGCUGAGUUUUAAUGGAGUAUCUACAUAGGCGUACAGAGGCCCAUUAUCAGCAACCAUCACUCCUGUGUUCCAAUGGCACGUUGUGUUAGCUAAUCCAAGUUCAUCAUUUUAA